UGAAACUAAUGGCUUGAUCAGUUGUCAAGGAGGGCUAACUCAUUCCAUUUUUUCAGGGCAGAGACCAUUUAUUAAAAGGUAGUCGUAGACCUGAGCUACUGACUACUCAUCAUCUCAGGGUCGGCAUUACUACUAAGCGAUUCAAGAGAGACUCGGAAAGGAAAUAAAAAUCAAGAACCACACUUUUCAACUUUAAAUCGUGUAUUUUUCUGUAUCGUGUAAAGUGUGUGUGUGUUUUUGGGGUGAGCACUUCAGGGACAAACGUACCGUUUUACCAGCAGCAGCUUCUUCGGGGUUGAACGCCUUCGGCGUUCUCUUUGCGUUGGCCGGUCACAGGAGCGUCCUCGACUGUGCCGCCGGAAGUCCCGUGGGGGGGGGGGUCGUCUUCGUUGCAGCCGAAUAACGGUUGACGGCUGUUGUUGUUGCUGCGCUGGAAACCGCGAGGCAAGGUCGAGCGGGCGUUGCCGAUCCUUCCUGCGGCAGGCGUCUUCCCUCGUUGUCGGAAUCGGCGGACCUGGCUUCCACCAAUCCGGUCGCGCCGAGAGGGGAAAUCUCGUUGACGGUUAUGGCGCCCUGCGCCAGAGAUUCGGGUUGGUCCUUGACGUUUUAAAUGUAGCCAACGGCACCGCCGCACUUACAGGGCUAGAUUGACCACCGUACGGCACCGAGAUCCGGGAAGCGGGAAAGGUAACCACCGCGGGCACUUCCACUGGAAGGCCAAGACGUGCCCAGUAGUAAAGACGGUACUGACACUCCGGAACCUCGACUGCACCGCACGAACGCCUGAUAGUAAAAGAGGCCGAUUCUUGUCCUCGGCGUCGGAGGUAAACAUUCCUUCCUCAUUUUGGGAGGGAAAAACCCCAUUUUCUUUUCCUCCCACUUUUCGUGCAGUCCUGACCUAGCGCUGUCAGGAUCUGCGUGUUUGCAGCGGUACGGAUAACCCUUCACUGCUUGUGUCGUGUGAUGUUGUAUGUACGGAAAUAAAUUGAAAAGUGAAGGUUCGUUCAAGAACUGUGACCAACGGUUACACUAUCCACCACCCCGGCGAAAAAAAUGUGAAAGCACGACGAGGUUUCGCAUUUUUUUACAACAAUGCUUUGCAUCACCGUCGUCGGCAUCUACUAGAUUCGUGGGUGUGGACAAUUCAACCUACAAUUCUCAGGUACAUUACUGCUACAACGCGCGAGAUAAUGAACCUUCACAAAACAACUCAAAUAAUAAAUAAUACAAACAAAAACAUUCAAUAUUUACAAAAUUUACACCAAAUUAAAAUAAAUAAGUUAACAUAAAUCAUGCAAAAACAAAUUAAAAUAAUUAUUAAAAAUCAUCCCGAAUUAUGGGUAGACAACUCUAUAGUUAUGUUGCGCAACAAAAUAAUUAUGUACAGAAUUUACAAGUUUGGAUCUCUUUCGAUCUCCAAGGGGUGAUUCAACCUCAAGUGAAGCCCCUGCAGCAAACUGUCUCUGCAGUUGACAGAUGCCAAAACGUCACCGCACUAACACAUCGCCGAAUUGUCAGAGCAUAACGCAAUGUUUACAUCUGAUAAUUCAGUUCGGUCGACUGUUAAGUGCGCGAGCGUUUUUUCGUCGUUUUCGGUGUGUUUUUGACGAUGUUUCGUCCGAUAUGUUCAGCUCACAGUGAGCCUGAAAAGUGGUGGUGUUUUGCUGCUAGGUUCUGAAUCUUCCCGAGGAAGAUCAGCCUGCACAAACCCACAAAUAAUCCCGGGAUGAACCAUGGUUUGCCAUCUUGACACAGCAAGAUGAGCACCAGGCUUGGCACUUCUGGCCGGUAUUUUGGUUGGCAGAGUCCCCUCACUGCCGCUCCACAGUCGACGCUCGGACGCAAGGGCACUACGGAUAACCCCUUGGUCGUCUCGUCGGACUGCCAGCGCAGCUAUGGACCUCCAACAUGAGCAUAAAGGUGUUUAGUAACGACUAACCUCCUCCGCAGAUGCUCAUCGGGUCUUCGGGUCGAACCGACAGCGAGUUCCGAGGGAAACCAAUGUUUAACCCCUCACCAACUGCUGCGGUUAACCGACCCUCGGUCGACUUACAUCGUUAGAGUUAGUCAGUGUUACUAAACUCUGUAUUGAUUAUGAAUAAAGAUUCAUUUUAUUUUCA